GAUGAACGCUAGCGGCAUGCCUAAUACAUGCAAGUCGAACGAGAGGAAGGAAAGCUUGCUUUUCUGAAUCUAGUGGCGAACGGGUGAGUAACACGUAGGUAACCUGCCCAUGUGCCCGGGAUAACUUCUGGAAACGGAUGCUAAAACCGGAUAGGUAGCAGACAAGCAUUUGACUGCUAUUAAAGUGGCUAAGGCCAUGAACAUGGAUGGACCUGCGGUGCAUUAGCUAGUUGGUGAGGUAACGGCCCACCAAGGCGACGAUGCAUAGCCGGCCUGAGAGGGCGGACGGCCACAUUGGGACUGAGACACGGCCCAAACUCCUACGGGAGGCAGCAGUAGGGAAUUUUCGUCAAUGGGGGGAACCUUGAACGAGCAAUGCCGCGUGAGUGAAGAAGGUCUUCGGAUCGUAAAGCUCUGUUGUAAGAGAAAAACGACAUUCAUAGGGAAUGAUGAGUGAGUGAUGGUAUCUUACCAGAAAGU
rnacentral:rRNA from 1 species